rnacentral:tRNA from 48 species
UCCCUGGUAGCUCAGCGGUAGAGCACUCGACUGUUAAUCGAUAGGUCGCCGGUUCGAAUCCGGCCCGGGGAGCCA